GCCUAGCCGUAACACACAAUUAAAUCACCAAUUGUUCGCCAAACAACUACAAGCCGCACUUGAAACUUAAAAGACUUGACGGUACUUCAUCACGACCUAGAGGAGCCUGUCUAAUAACCGACAAUCCACGAUUAACCCAACCCCUUCUUGCCCAACAGUCUAUAUACCGCCGUCGCCAGCUUACCUUGUAAAAGAAAUAAAGUGAGCUAAAUAAUACAACACUAAAACGACAGGUCGAGGUGUAACCUAUGAAGGGGCCAAGAUGGGCUACAUUCUCAUUCGAGAAUACGAAUAACACUAUGAAACUAGUGCUUGAAGGCGGAUUUAGCAGUAAGCUAAGAAUAAAAUACUUAACUGAACAUAACGCAAUGAAGUGCGUACACACCGCCCGUCAUCCCUGCCACCACAAUAUAAACCUUUUAUAAACUAACCUAAAAAUCAACACAGGGCAAGUCGUAACAUGGUAAGUGUACUGGAAAGUGUACUUAGAAA
rnacentral:rRNA from 1 species